GGAAGGGAUCAUUACCGAGUUUACACUCCCAACCCCUGUGUAACAUACCACUUGUUGCCUCGGCGGAUCAGCCCGCUCCCGGUAAAACGGGACGGCCCGCCAGAGGACCCCUAAACUCUGUUUCUAUAUGUAACUUCUGAGUAAAACCAUAAAUAAAUCAAAACUUUCAACAACGGAUCUCUUGGUUCUGGCAUCGAUGAAGAACGCAGCAAAAUGCGAUAAGUAAUGUGAAUUGCAGAAUUCAGUGAAUCAUCGAAUCUUUGAACGCACAUUGCGCCCGCCAGUAUUCUGGCGGGCAUGCCUGUUCGAGCGUCAUUUCAACCCUCAAGCACAGCUUGGUGUUGGGACUCGCGUUAAUUCGCGUUCCUCAAAUUGAUUGGCGGUCACGUCGAGCUUCCAUAGCGUAGUAGUAAAACCCUCGUUACUGGUAAUCGUCGCGGCCACGCCGUUAAACCCCAACUUCUGAAUGUUGACCUCGGAUCAAGUAAGGAUACCCGCUGAACUUAAGCAUAUCAAUAAGCGGAAGAAACAUUAGGUUUUACCCAACCCUGUGGAAU
rnacentral:rRNA from 1 species